UAGCCAUAUCACAUUGAAACACUGGUUCUCAUACAAUCACUGAAGUUAAGCAAUGUCAAGCCAGGUCAGUAUCUAGAUGGGUGACCAAUUAGGAAUAACAGGUGCUGUAAG